rnacentral:rRNA from 1 species
CCUACGGGAGGCAGCAGUGGGGGAUAUUGCACAAUGGGGGAAACCCUGAUGCAGCGACGCCGCGUGAGUGAAGAAGUCUUUCGGUUUGUAAAGCUCUAUAAGCGGGGCAGAAAAUGACAGUACCUGACCAAGAAGCCCCGGCUAACUCCGUGCCAGCAGCCGCGGUAAUACGUAGGGGGCACGCGUUAUCCGGAUUUACUGGGUGUAAAGGGAGCGUAGACGGGUAGGUAAGUCUGGAGUGAAAGCCCGGGGCUCAACCCCGGUACUGCUUUGGAAACUGUGUAGCUGGAGUGCGGGAGGGGUAGGCGGAAUUCCUGGUGUAGCGGUGAAAUGCGUAGAUAUCAGGAGGAACACCGGCGGCGAAGGCGGCUUGCUGGACCAAAACUGACGUUGAGGAACGAAAGCGUGGGGAGCAAACAGGAUUAGAUACCCUUGUAGUC